rnacentral:rRNA from 1 species
GCUUGUCUCAAAGAUUAAGCCAUGCAUGUCUAAGUAUAAACAACUUUGUACUGUGAAACUGCGAAUGGCUCAUUAUAUCAGUUAUAGUCUACUCGAUAGUACCUUACUACUUGGAUAACCGUAGUAAUUCUAGAGCUAAUACAUGCUAUAUGCCCGGCUUCUGGCAGGGCUGUAUUUAUUAGAUACUAAACCAGUGUCGCAAGACAUUGUGGUGAAUCACAGUAACUGAUCGAAUCGGCGCGCAAGCGGCGAUAAAUCAUUCAAGUUUCUGCCCUAUCAGCUUUCGAUGGUAGUGUAUUGGACUACCAUGGCAGUCACGGGUAACGGAGAAUUAGGGUUCGGUUCCGGAGAGGGAGCCUGAGAAACGGCUACCACAUCUAAGGAAGGCAGCAGG